rnacentral:lncRNA from 1 species
AUGCUGCGGUGCGGGGAAACCCACCCAGCCCUGUGCCCCCGCCUUACCCACAGCUGUGCAGCUCCCGGGGGAUCCCCGACCCUCCCAGGGACAGUGACACUGCCUGGACAUGGGAAUCCCCCUUGCUCCUGUGCAUGGGGUCACCCUCUCCCCAGAGCGGGCAGAGCCCGGGAUGUCCUCUGGGUGCCCCUGUCCCACUCUGAGCCGGUUCUGUGCCCCCACCCCAGUCACAGCCACCCCCCAGCUCGGCACUCACGGUGGAUGACGAUGCCGAGCAGGAGGGCGAUGAGGAAGAGCAGGAUGAUGCUCAUCAGAGCCACGCAGAGCCAGGUGAACUUGCAGUCGGCGCGGAACCUCCAGCCCACCUGUCCCCAGAGCUGCUGGCCUGGGGGCGAGGACAGCGGGCAGCGCCAAACCCCCACCUCCCUGCACGGCCUGGCACGUCCCCACCGCCCUGCUGAUGUGUCCCCAAGGUGUCCCAGAGCCCACCACCCCUCCCCUGCAGCCCCACGGACACGGGGUGUGUACAAACCCCCAGGCUGGUACCGAGGCCGUCCCGGCGCGGUGCGGGUCCGGUCCCAUCCUUGUCUGGCUCCACGCUCGGUGCCGCCCGGGGCUCCUCGCCCUCAAAAACGGGGUUGCAGAACUCGGUCUGUGGGACAGCGAGCGCGGGUGGCACCCUGGGGACCCGCGGGGGGGGGGGGGGUGGCACCCUGGGGACCCGCGGGGACCACCAGCAGCACCCACACCCCCAGCCCUACCUUGCUGCCGUCCAGAGCCUCGGGGCAAAGCGAGAUUUCGGUGAAGUCUUUCAUGGCAGCAGGCGGUUCCCGGCGCAGCCUGGCUAAAAUCCUGCCCAGUGCCCUGUGCCCCCCAGCCCCACCGCCCGCUCCUCCCGCCGCUCCGGGCCGGGGGUGGUGGCACUGCCAGCUCUACGGGUGGCAGCCCAGCAGCGGAGCCCACCCGAGGGCCAUGCCCGCCGUGCCGGGAGUGCGGGGAGCCCCGCGAGCAGCAGCCCCAGUCCCCUGUGCAGGCCCCUUCCCCCUCGCCCCGUUAAUCCAGCUCAGCUGA